rnacentral:lncRNA from 1 species
CCGGGCGCCGUGACGUCAGCGGCUGCAUCACACACCCCCCGGGCACCGCCCAACCCCAAAACCCCCCCAGAAAUCACCCCGUAAAGGAUGGGGGGGGCGGAAAGUGGAACAUCCCGGCUGCGGGGGGUGAGGGGAGAUGCUCCAUGGGGCAGGGAAGAUGGGAGACCCCGCCCGUGUGGGGUGGGGGGAGACGCUUUGUGGGGUCCCCCGGCUGCGUGGGGCGGGGGGAGAUGCCCCGGGGGACUGUGUGGGGCGGGGGGAGAUGUUCGCUGGGGCUGGGGAGAUGCCCCAUGGAGCAUUUCCCCCACCUCCCCGCGGUGGGCAGGAGGCAGGGAAAAUGCUCCGUGGGGCACCCCGGCCGCGUGGGGCACGGGGAGUUGCUCCGUGGGGCAGGAGAGGGAGAUGCUCCGUGGGGCGAUGUCCGACGUUGCAAACCCCCCCCGGGGAAAGGUGCUCAUCCCCAACCCAAGGGAGAGGAGGAAAAGAGGGUUCUGGGGACACACAAAACCCCUCCAACCCCCCCCCCCAGCUCUGUGUCCCCCCAUCUCUCCCACCCCCUUCCAGCUCCAGGCCGUGUUUACAGGAGCUCAGAAAGAAAGGGGGGAAAAAAAAUGAAAAGAGAGAAAGGAGGAAGAAAAAAAAAAAAAAAAGCCGCGCCGCGAAUUCCUGGAAGAAUAAAUCCAUCAAGGGCCAUUAGAGCUCCUGCGGCUCCUCCCGGCGGAGCGGACACCGACGCCUCCCACAGCCUUUUGGGGACCCGCAGCACGAACAGUCGAAUCCAGUGAAUCCAGCAUCCAGGGAGUGCCAGGCAAAUGCCUCCCGGGCGCUGGAACGGGCUUUUCCAGAGAGGCUUCCAGCCCCUGGAGCCACAGCCCGCAGGUGGCAGCGGAGGGAGACCUGCCGGGGCAAACAUCCUCGUGGAUUCUCCACCAGGCUCUGGAGGGGUCAUCCCACGCCCCCAGCCCCCCCCGCUGGCACGGACCUGGCUGCCGGAGAGGUUUGGGAAGAGGAGAGUGUCCAGCUGGAAGCGGAGGGAGUGGUUUCCACGCCGCGGGAGGAAGCGGGAGCGGCCGAGCCGAGCCGCCCAUCCAGAAGGCACCUGCUAGGUGAGACACAGGGCGAGCCGGGCACUGCCACCCCCUCCCCAGAGGGUCCCCCCACCCC